CCUACGGGAGGCAGCAGUGAGGAAUAUUGGUCAAUGCACGAGAGUCUGAACCAGCCAAGUAGCGUGAAGGAUGACUGCCCUAUGGGUUGUAAACUUCUUUUAUAUGGGAAUAAAAUGUUCCACGUGUGGGAUUUUGUAUGUACCAUAUCAAUAAGGACAGGCAAAUUCCGGGCCAGCCGCCGCGGUAAUACGGAGGAUCCGAGCGUUAUCCGGAUUUAUUGGGUUUAAAGGGAGCGUAGGUGGAUUGUUAAGUCAGUUGUGAAAGUUUGGGGCUCAACCGUAAAAUUGCAGUUGAAACUGGCAGACUUGAGUACAGUAGAGGUGGGCGGAAUUCGUGGUGUAGCGGUGAAAUGCUUAGAUAUCACGAAGAACUCCGAUUGCGAAGGCAGUUCACUGGACUGCAACUGACACUGAGGCUCGAAAGUGUGGGUAGCAAACAGGAUUAGAUACCCCGGUAGUC
rnacentral:rRNA from 1 species